UACAGAGGGUGCGAGCGUUAAUCGGAAUUACUGGGCGUAAAGCGUGCGUAGACGGUUAUUUAAGUCGGAUGUGAAAGCCCCGGGCUCAACCUGGGAAUUGCAUUCGAGACUGAAUAGCUAGGGUGCGGUAGAGGGUAGCGGAAUUCCCAGUGUAGCGGUGAAAUGCGUAGAUAUUGGGAGGAACACCAGUGGCGAAGGCGGCUACCUGGACCGGUUCUGACGCUGAUGCGCGAAAGCUAGGGGAGCAAACGGG
rnacentral:rRNA from 1 species